AUUGAACGCUGGCGGCAUGCCUUACACAUGCAAGUCGAACGGCAGCAUAGGAGCUUGCUCCUGAUGGCGAGUGGCGAACGGGUGAGUAAUAUAUCGGAACGUGCCCUAGAGUGGGGGAUAACUAGUCGAAAGACUAGCUAAUACCGCAUACGAUCUACGGAUGAAAGUGGGGGAUCGCAAGACCUCAUGCUCCUGGAGCGGCCGAUAUCUGAUUAGCUAGUUGGUGGGGUAAAAGCCUACCAAGGCGACGAUCAGUAGCUGGUCUGAGAGGACAACCAGCCACACUGGGACUGAGACACGGCCCAGACUCCUACGGGAGGCAGCAGUGGGGAAUUUUGGACAAUGGGGGCAACCCUGAUCCAGCAAUGCCGCGUGAGUGAAGAAGGCCUUCGGGUUGUAAAGCUCUUUUGUCAGGGAAGAAACGGUAGUAGCUAAUAUCUAUUACUAAUGACGGUACCUGAAGAAUAAGCACCGGCUAACUACGUGCCAGCAGCCGCGGUAA
rnacentral:rRNA from 1 species